CCUACGGGUGGCAGCAGUAGGGAAUAUUGCUCAAUGGGGGAAACCCUGAAGCAGCAACGCCGCGUGGAGGAUGAAGGUUUUCGGAUUGUAAACUCCUUUUGUUAGAGAAGAUAAUGACGGUAUCUAACGAAUAAGCACCGGCUAACUCCGUGCCAGCAGCCGCGGUAAUACGGAGGGUGCAAGCGUUACUCGGAAUCACUGGGCGUAAAGAGGGCGUAGGCGGGAUAGCAAGUCAGAUGUGAAAUCCUAUGGCUUAACCGUAGAACUGCAUUUGAAACUGUUAUUCUAGAGUAUGGGAGAGGUAGGUGGAAUUCUUGGUGUAGGGGUAAAAUCCGUAGAGAUCAAGAGGAAUACUCAUUGCGAAGGCGACCUGCUAGAACAUAACUGACGCUGAUGCGCGAAAGCGUGGGGAGCAAACAGGAUUAGAUACCCCAGUAGUC
rnacentral:rRNA from 1 species